rnacentral:rRNA from 1 species
GAUGAACGCUGGCGGCGUGCUUAACACAUGCAAGUCGAACGAAGCACUUGAAUGGAAUUCUUUGGAAGGAAGCUCAAGUGACUGAGUGGCGGACGGGUGAGUAACGCGUGGGUAACCUGCCUCAUACAGGGGGAUAACAGUUAGAAAUGACUGCUAAUACCGCAUAAGCACACGUGAUCGCAUGAUCGAGUGUGAAAAACUCCGGUGGUAUGAGAUGGACCCGCGUCUGAUUAGCUAGUUGGUGGGGUAAUGGCCCACCAAGGCGACGAUCAGUAGCCGGCCUGAGAGGGUGAACGGCCACAUUGGGACUGAGACACGGCCCAAACUCCUACGGGAGGCAGCAGUGGGGAAUAUUGCACAAUGGGGGAAACCCUGAUGCAGCGACGCCGCGUGAAGGAUGAAGUAUUUCGGUAUGUAAACUUCUAUCAGCAGGGAAGAAAAUGACG